rnacentral:lncRNA from 1 species
AGUCUCCUCAAUGCCCAGAGUGGCACUAGUAACCACCCCAGGAAACCCAAGGACAAGCAACGGAGCACCUUGGGCUGGACUCUUAAGUUGGGAGACUUUGGAGCCACAGUCUAGCCUCGCUCUCAAGAGGAAGACCAGCUAGGGGUCAAGGGAAGACCCCCAGGGGUAAAUCUGCUCAUCCAGUGCUUAAGAAAACCCACUUCAAAUGUGAUAUUAGGCCCAUCGCCAAGGCCUGACUCAGCUUCUCUCCAUGGCCUGUGCUGGGUGUUUGCUUAGGGUUACACUGUGGGCAGGACACAACCAGGAAGAGAAGAGAAGACCUCUUCACCCGCAAUGUCCAUGGGUACCUGUGUCUGCCCACCCGGAGGCCUUGCUGGCUUAACUAGAAGCAUGCUGGCUAUUUGAAAGUUUUGUUAUUGUUAUUCUCUUUGGUCUUGUUUUUAUCGUGAUUUGGUUUGGUUUUCCACGGGAGUUUGUUUCUGGGUUUAGACGCCUGAUUUACUUUCUUCUAAAGCACCCAGGAGGGAUGGGGAAAUGCUUUGGGUCAGAAUACAACAUUUAAAAGUAAACGAAUGAACUGAGAAGUUAA